AUGGCCUCAAUAUUCACUCAACAUUUACACAUUCAUUCCCGUCAGCAGGCACCUCCAUUUUUCCCUUCAAUGUAUAUCAAGCUGCAAUCACUUUUCCACCAUGCAGUCAGCCACUGUCAUGCACUCCCACAGAUGUGUCCAUCUUUUAUUGUUUUUUAUUUGGCUGUAGUCAGUUCUACACAGAGAUGGUUUGAAAACUUCAACCAGUCCUGUCACCCAUGCUUAAGUCCAGGAGUGCUGAAUCUCCUUGAGCUGGCCUCCCCUGGCCCCUACCCUUUUCCCCAUCACCCACUCCACUUAAGUCCCAGUGACCACACUGCUGUCCCUCCAUCACAUCGCAGGUAUUCCAAACUCGGGACGUGCAUAAGCGCUGCCAUCUCUGACCAGAAAGCCCUCUGCAGAUUUUGA
rnacentral:lncRNA from 1 species